GACGAACGCUGGCGGCGUGCUUAACACAUGCAAGUCGAACGGAAAGGCCCUGCUUUUGUGGGGUGCUCGAGUGGCGAACGGGUGAGUAACACGUGAGUAACCUGCCCUUGACUUUGGGAUAACUUCAGGAAACUGGGGCUAAUACCGGAUAGGAGCUCCUGCUGCAUGGUGGGGGUUGGAAAGUUUCGGCGGUUGGGGAUGGACUCGCGGCUUAUCAGCUUGUUGGUGGGGUAGUGGCUUACCAAGGCUUUGACGGGUAGCCGGCCUGAGAGGGUGACCGGCCACAUUGGGACUGAGAUACGGCCCAGACUCCUACGGGAGGCAGCAGUGGGGAAUAUUGCACAAUGGGCGGAAGCCUGAUGCAGCAACGCCGCGUGCGGGAUGACGGCCUUCGGGUUGUAAACCGCUUUCGCCUGUGACGAAGCGUGAGUGACGGUAAUGGGUAAAGAAGCACCGGCUAACUACGUGCCAGCAGCCGCGGUGAUACGUAGGGUGCGAGCGUUGUCCGGAUUUAUUGGGCGUAAAGGGCUCGUAGGUGGUUGAUCGCGUCGGAAGUGUAAUCUUGGGGCUUAACCCUGAGCGUGCUUUCGAUACGGGUUGACUUGAGGAAGGUAGGGGAGAAUGGAAUUCCUGGUGGAGCGGUGGAAUGCGCAGAUAUCAGGAGGAACACCAGUGGCGAAGGCGGUUCUCUGGGCCUUUCCAGACGCUGAGGAGCGAAAGCGUGGGGAGCGAACAGGCUUAGAUACCCUGGUAGUCCACGCUGUAAACGGUGGGUACUAGGUGUGGGGUCCAUUCCACGGGUUCCGUGCCGUAGCUAACGCUUUAAGUACCCCGCCUGGGGAGUACGGCCGCAAGGCUAAAGCUCAAAGGAAUUGACGGGGCCCCGCACAAGCGGCGGAGCAUGCGGAUUAAUUCGAUGCAACGCGUAGAACCUUACCUGGGUUUGACAUGGAUCGGGAGUGCUCAGAGAUGGGUGUGCCUCUUUUGGGGUCGGUUCACAGGUGGUGCAUGGCUGUCGUCAGCUCGUGUCGUGAGAUGUUGGGUUAAGUCCCGCAACGAGCGCAACCCUUGUUCACUGUUGCCAGCACGUUAUGGUGGGGACUCAGUGGAGACCGCCGGGGUCAACUCGGAGGAAGGUGGGGAUGACGUCAAGUCAUCAUGCCCCUUAUGUCCAGGGCUUCACGCAUGCUACAAUGGCUGGUACAGAGAGUGGCGAGCCUGUGAGGGUGAGCGAAUCUCGGAAAGCCGGUCUCAGUUCGGAUUGGGGUCUGCAACUCGACCUCAUGAAGUCGGAGUCGCUAGUAAUCGCAGAUCAGCAACGCUGCGGUGAAUACGUUCCCGGG
rnacentral:rRNA from 1 species